rnacentral:misc_RNA from 1 species
AAAAAAGUAGAAAACCACAGGUUACGACCAACCAGGGGAUGGAUACACUGACAAGUACCCAAGGUACAGGGAAGAGGAACCACCGCCUUACCAGUUUGUAGGAACACAACAACCAGUAGACUUUGUUUAUACGCCUUUUUCUCAUCAGCCAUACGUGGUUUCGGAUCAACCACAACAUGAUCGAACACUGAUAAUUCAGACACGACCUCCAAAUUAUAUGAUACCGUCAAUUCUUGCAUGCCUUUGUUGUUUCUGGCCAACAGGACUGUGUGCAAUUUACUACGCAAACGAGGCUAAUAAUAUGGCCCUAGCUGGAGACUACGUAGGCGCCAUAAGAAUGGCAAACAUCUCAAGAAACAUGAUGGUUUUCAGUGUUGUCGUAGGUAUAUUCUGGAUAACUGUUCUGAUAGUUAUAAAUGCCGUCUAACAACGUGCCACAACGUUCAUCAGACGUGAACGGGAUUCAUGUAGAGAUCAGUUUGCGAAUACAGCCUUGCCAUUGGUCAAUUUUAAAAUUGUGGUCUUUGCUAUAGAUUUUAUUUUAGAUUGUGUUUGUUUCAUAAUAAUGUUAAGAAACAACAAAUCAAAUACUGACGUUUACAUAAAUCAUCAAAAUAUUAUUAUUAUGGAACUUAGUGCUAGUAUUAUACCUGCUGUCUUGACAAAUUCAAUGCAAAUGCCUCGUUAUAGUUAUAUAUUAUAAAUAUUGUAUUGUACCUCAUAAUGUCAUGUUAUCGUGAAUUGAGAGAAAUAAACGAAUUGAAUUGAA